GGGUUGUGAGGUUAAGCGACUAAGCGUACACGGUGGAUGCCCUGGCAGUCAGAGGCGAUGAAGGACGUGCUAAUCUGCGAUAAGCGCCGGUAAGGUGAUAUGAACCGUUAUAACCGGCGAUUUCCGAAUGGGGAAACCCAGUGUGACUCGUCACACUAUCAUUAACUGAAUCCAUAGGUUAAUGAGGCGAACCGGGGGAACUGAAACAUCUAAGUACCCCGAGGAAAAGAAAUCAACCGAGAUUCCCCCAGUAGCGGCGAGCGAACGGGGAGGAGCCCAGAGCCUGAAUCAGCAUGUGUGUUAGUGGAAGCGUCUGGAAAGGCGCGCGAUACAGGGUGACAGCCCCGUACACAAAAGCGCAUGUGCUGUGAGCUCGAUGAGUAGGGCGGGACACGUGGUAUCCUGUCUGAAUAUGGGGGGACCAUCCUCCAAGGCUAAAUACUCCUGACUGACCGAUAGUGAACCAGUACCGUGAGGGAAAGGCGAAAAGAACCCCGGCGAGGGGAGUGAAAAAGAACCUGAAACCGUGUACGUACAAGCAGUGGGAGCACAGGUUUACCUGUGUGACUG
rnacentral:rRNA from 1 species